UCCCUGAAGGAUUAGUGGUUAGGCCACGGCGCUCUCACUGCCGAGGCCCGGGGUUCGAUUCCCGGCCAGGGAA